CAUAUGCAAGCGACAAAGCGCGGGUAUACUAAAAAGAAACAAAGAAACAGAGAAGCGAGAGGCAGAUCUAUUGCUACAAAAUAAAUUCAUUGAUCUGCGGUUUUGUUUGGGAAUAAGAAUAAUGGGAAAGGUGGAAUCAAACGAAGACGCCUCAAAUCAGAAGAAGAGGGUGAAGAGAAACCAUGGAUCCACCAAAUUCUUUGUGUUUAUAGAUUAUGUAUUCCUCUUUGCAUUCUUUUGUUUCCUCUGCUACAUUCUCUUCAAAAUGGUCGGGAUUUGAUAUAUCCAGGUUUAAUGAUAAGCUAUAUCCAGAACAAUAGAAUCCAAGUUCCUAUGAAAUGCAAAACUGCUCGUUUAUUCCAGUUUAGAGAUUCCUUCCUUCUUAUUUUGGACACAGAGAUAUGGAGAGGAAUGAAGUUGUGGCACUGGUGAUCUAUGUCAAAUUCAUCUGUGCCACGCGAGUUACUUAUUUAAUGUACUUAAUAUAUAUGGCAUGAGUAGCUUUCUUGGUGUGCCUGAUCACACAAUUUACAUGCUGAUAUGGCGCUGAAAAUACUCUGAUGCUCAAUUGACAACUACUAGGAUCUCCUUUGCUGUUCUGAAAUUAUUUUCAAUCUUUUCAACUUGGGCACAAGUGAAAUAUACCAUAUUGAUGGAGACUCAAAAUCAUCUAUUUCAGUUUGAUAUUAUUUCCAAUAAGUAUAUCAGCCAAGGCAAAGGUUUAACUAAUGAUAUUUUGGUCAAAAUCUGCCCUAAGGAUAUUUAGCUUGAUAUGGCAUUAAGGAAAAAGUCGGUCGAGGUCGACCAGGAAGCAGCAAGAUUCAUGGCCGAGAUGUCAACCAUAACCGAGGUCGAGCAUUGUGUAAAGAACAUUAACGGCUAGUGUUUGAAAUAUGAUAUUAAAGAGAAUAUUAGGGUUUGUUAGAGACAUGUCUUGUAUAA